rnacentral:rRNA from 1 species
CCUACGGGAGGCUGCAGUGAGGAAUAUUGGUCAAUGGCCGAGAGGCUGAACCAGCCAAGUCGCGUGAGGGAAGACGGCCCUACGGGUUGUAAACCUCUUUUGUCGGGGAGCAAAGCGAGUCACGUGUGACUCAUUGAGAGUACCCGAAGAAAAAGCAUCGGCUAACUCCGUGCCAGCAGCCGCGGUAAUACGUAGGGUGCAAGCGUUAUCCGGAUUUAUUGGGCGUAAAGGGCUCGUAGGCGGUUCGUCGCGUCCGGUGUGAAAGUCCAUCGCUUAACGGUGGAUCCGCGCCGGGUACGGGCGGGCUUGAGUGCGGUAGGGGAGACUGGAAUUCCCGGUGUAACGGUGGAAUGUGUAGAUAUCGGGAAGAACACCAAUGGCGAAGGCAGGUCUCUGGGCCGUGACUGACGCUGAGGAGCGAAAGCGUGGGGAGCGAACAGGAUUAGAUACCCCGGUAGUC